CCAUUACGUAGAUCCUGAUCUACCGGUAGAUCUAAAACAGGUCCCAAGUAGAACCGAAGAGUGUCGAGGAGAAAAAAAACAAACAACCAUUUGUGUGUCUUUGUACAUGUUAGUAAUAUAUUUUUUUGUGUUAAUGUACGCUGCACCAUAAUCAUCCUAUCAGUCUCCUUUUCACAAAAUAAAUAUUUAAAAAUAAAAUAAAGCAGGUAAAUCUUGAAUUUAUGGGGGCGCGUGAUGACGUCACCGGAAGUUGUUUGCGCUCAUCAGUCUGCAAUUGCAGCUUGUGAUCAGAGCUGUUGCGCUCUCAAUCUUUUAUCGACAUUAUUCCCAUUCAGAGUUUGCUUUGUGUACAAUUCACCGAGGACACGGGCAAAGAAGAGGAACCUAGGAGGACCCAGGGAAGCACUUUAAAACGCCAAUCACACGCUGAAUUAUUUCAUCACAACGGCCUCUCAAAUUCCAAACCUACCAGAGUACUGGGAGCUGGCCUAUGUUGAUGGCGAUCACAUUUUGCAGUUUGACAGCAACAGCAGGAAAACGAAAGCCAAACAGGACUGGGUGAAUAAAAUCCCAGCAGAGGAUCCACACUUCUGGCAGAGAGAGACACGCAACAGUAUUGCCUAUGAGCAGGUUCUCAAAGUCAGCACUGAAAGCUUGAAAAAGCGCUUCAACCAAACUGGAGGUGUUCACAUGAUCCAGAGGAAAAUUAGCUGUGAUGGGAUGAUGAAACUGGUGAAGUUGAUGGCUGGGAACACUACAGUUAUGACGGAGAAGACGUCAUAUCAUUUGAGCUGAAGACAAUGAGAUGGAUCGCAGCACAUCAACAAGCUUUCAUCACAAAAAACAAUUAGGACC